UACGUAGGGUGCAAGCGUUGUCCGGAAUUAUUGGGCGUAAAGAGCUUGUAGGCGGUCUGUCGCGUCGGCUGUGAAAACCCGGAGCUCAACUCCGGGCCUGCAGUCGAUACGGGCAAACUGGAGUGUUGCAGGGGAGACUGGAAUUCCUGGUGUAGCGGUGAAAUGCGCAGAUAAUCAGGAGGAACACCGGUGGCGAAGGCGGGUCUCUGGGCCGAUACUGACGCUGAGGAGCGAAAGCGUGGGGAGCGAACAGG
rnacentral:rRNA from 1 species